rnacentral:rRNA from 1 species
UACGUAGGGGGCGAGCGUUGUCCGGAUUUAUUGGGCGUAAAGAGCUCGUAGGCGGACUCUUAAGUCGGUGGUGAAAUCCUGGAGCUCAACUCCAGAACUGCCUUCGAUACUGAGAGUCUCGAGUCCGAGAGAGGUGAGUGGAACUGCGAGUGUAGAGGUGAAAUUCGUAGAUAUUCGCAAGAACACCAGUGGCGAAGGCGGCUCACUGGCCCGGUACUGACGCUGAGGUGCGAAAGCGUGGGGAGCAAACAGG